UCUAGAGCCCCCUUGUGGCAGAGGUUACCUAAUAUAAAUUUAAACUGAAAGUGUAUUAAGAAGAUAUCUUUUAAUGAACUAGAAGAAUGAUCAGAUUAAGUUGAUAUACAGUAAAUUAAUAGGUCGCUGUCAGGCUUUAGCAAAGCUUGAUGAAGAGCUGAAUUGGAAUCAGGUGUUUUGGAGCAGGGAAAGAAAUGCAGAGCAGGGGGGCCCCCCAGGAACAGAAUUGAAAAAUCACUUCUCUAACACGUUGUAAAAGUGAACGUAUGUCAGAUCUCCUGAUGUUCAACCUCUGGCUUCCUCUUUACCCGGUGUACCUCACCUCAUUUGUCCUUUAGGAGGACAGCCUGAGGCAGAAAGAGAGAGGAGGAUCGCUGUUCGCAUAUGGAUCCACAGAACUUACAUCUGUUGUCAGCAAAUAUCAAGCGGACACAAAGACAAAGAAGAAGGCUACACCUUUCUCUGUCCUCCUCAGCACCCAACAGACAGCCUGGCAGGCGAGCUGGCAGCCGGGCAGAAUGGCAGUAGGCUGGCAGGCUUUAGCCUGGGGCACCAUCUCCUGCGGAGCCAACUCUGACCAGCUGGUCCAGACUAACACCACAGAGCGAGCAUGUACCGCCGUAUCAGCGGGGAGCUAGAUGUUAGCUGUGGUCCAGACACCCUCACACCCAGAGCCUGACACCUACAGCAGUACACCUGCACCGGUGGGAUUUAGGUGAGAAGACUCUGUCUGGUCUAUGACUUAACAGGUCGUCACAUUUCUCCCGGCGUAGCCUGUCACCAUCCCGAUUCCUUUCCAGCGAGCGAAUGAUGGACCCCUGUCCGCUCUCACUUGCUAAUGCCAGAUCUAGGAGCCUGAUCCUCUGUCCAGUUUGGUCCAGUCUGCCAUGACGGUUUAGGCUCCAGCAGAGUCCCCGAGCGGCUGAGGAAAAUCUGGUGGACCUUCCACUUCCAGCACUAUUCAGCUAGUCAGCUAGCUUAGCACCGUUUUUGAUUGCUCAGCCAUAGCUAUAGACACAUCGGGACACAUUGGAAGUCAGGGCUGUAACACAGUCACAGGUGUGUGGAAGCAGCAGCCUCGGCGCUCUUCUCCUCACGGCCCGUCUCACACUUGCACUCCUCCACCACCAUCACUCGCCUCUCCCGGACCUCGGCUCCGCAGCGCAGGGGCACAGUCAC